CCCUUAGCCCCGCGUCCGCCCGCCCGCUCGCCCGCCCGGGCCGGGCCCGGCCCGGACACCGCUUCUCUGGCGCGCGCUCCGGGCCCCGCGGGCCGGGUUGUGCUGUCACCCCGGGGAGGGCGCGCGCCGGGCCUGGGGGGUGGCGGGGCCCUGGUCCUGACCCUGGCCCGGGCCCCGAGUGGUGGCUCCGGGGAGGGUGCAUGUGUGUGCAUGUGUGCGCGCGUGCUUGUGUGUGUGUGUGUGUAGUGUGUGUGUAGUGUGUGUGUGUGUGUGUAGUGUGUGUGCACGCGCACGCGUGUGCGUGCCGCGGCCCCCGCCCUCCAGGCUCAGCUGGCGGGGUGCAGCCGGGGUUGCCCCCUGCGCUCUGCGGCUGGGCCCGGGGCUCCGGGCUACGAAGCAAGAUGGAGCAACCUUUAGGGCUGCCGGGGAAUGGCCUUGGUGGGGAUGUGCGCUCUUCCCUUAAUGGAGAGGCGCCGCGUCCUUGAUGCAGCUGCAGCAGCUGCAGCAGCAGCAACAGCAGCAGCAGCAACAGCACCAGCACCACCAGCAUCACCAGCACCACCAGCACCAGCACCAGCACCAGCCCAGCGGUGCGCUGCUACACCGGUCCAUGCUUGGGGACGGCCUCUGAAUGGCCUGAUUUUAAUGCGAAACUUGUCAGUGGACUUCGGGAUUGGAUCUCUCUGAGGUUGCAGGCACACGGUCCUGUCAGCAGGAGGAAGAUAGUAGUACUAUUGUUCCAGCGUGUCUGUGAUGAGCUGGUUGCAUUAGAGCCCUAAAACCUUCCCCCUCAGGCCAGGUUGGAUGCUUCCUUCUCAUCGUGUGGGAGAGAGAUACUGAGACUUGGCGGUUGCUCUCUCUGCUGUUGUGAUUUCACGGAGUGUUCUAUACGCUUUCGUCUUUGCUCUUCAUGGUGGACAUCAUGUGCUCAACUGUCAUAAGUUUCAGCUCGGGUUUUGUAGGUUCUUUUUUUUUUUCUUUUCCUCCACUAAAGUUCCAAAAUGUGUUUAAUAAUAAAUAUUUAGCGGUUCUCCCACUCAUUUGAGAAGACUACAGUGUAAUGGUGUGGAAAUGAGCUGUCGUCUCCUCUUGAGUUAAUAUUUGGUGCAGUUUAGCAUGGUGAACUUUUUUUUUUUGUAACGGUUUGUGAGGGCCAGCAGCCAGAACGUAAAUUCAUUCGUGCCAGUUUUCAUCAUGGGGAGGAGCUGACGUUGACUUUGUGUUUUCCCUUUUAACACUUUCAGGGUGGAGAGGGAUAUAAACCGGGUGGCUAUAAGUGUUGCUUGUGCUAUCAGAUUCUUGUAGAUUGGACAUUUUUCCGAAUUUGGGAGUUCUCCAAGGUGCUUUGGGAGCAGUCCCUGGGAAACUCCAAUGGGAGGAAAAAGAUAAUGUGUCCCAGACUCUGCUCCCUUGCCUCUCUGUUCUGACCGGCUAGAGACGAUAAGAGAGAGCAUCACUCUUCCACAGGCAGAGAAGGCAGAGCUGAAUUCUUUAGAUUUAAACUGGAAAAUGAGGUGUGCAGUGUGGAUAGUGUAUUUCUAUUUAGUAGCUAUGAAGAAACGUUUGUGUUUUGUUAGGCUUCAGAUAGACUGGCUUCUUCAGUUUACCAGCUCUGUUUUAUCAUCUGCAUCCUGUAUUUAAAGCACCCCUUCCCAUUCAUGCUUUCACUCAAAGCAAGCACCUCUGCUCUGUCUGCAUUAUGUUAAUAUGAUGUGUCUCUACCCACCCAUACUUGAAGAGAGAGAAGCCAUCCGAACUCAUCCGCUUUGAGCCCUUUUUGCAGGGUCCAAAACUCCCUGCCUACCAGGAAGUCAAUUCACAUUUACUCUCAAAGCCUCACAUAAUGCCUGGAACCACAUAACCUGCUCUCCUCUUGUUGAGAGUAGCUGUCCGUUUUGUUUUUAGGUAACAGCAGUCACCUGUCAUCAUCGAUCACUCUUGAAGAGUGAGUGUUAGCUUCUUGCUGCCCAGAGAAGUAUGGGAAACCACUUUAGAUGAAGUGUACUUAGCUUAACUCCCGAUGAGCUAUGUUGAGACCUGACCUAGACUUUUAAGGAUUACAAAAAGAAAAGAAAAGAAAAAAAUAAAAGCCUUUUGUCACUGUG